ACAGCAGCCGCCACGGGAACACGAAGGGUGCAAGCGUUACUCGGAAUUACUGGGCGUAAAGCGUGCGUAGGUGGUGGUUUAAGUCCGUUGUGAAAGCCCUGGGCUCAACCUGGGAAUUGCAGUGGAUACUGGGUCACUAGAGUGUGGUAGAGGAUAGUGGAAUUUCCGGUGUAGCAGUGAAAUGCGUAGAGAUCGGAAGGAACAUCUGUGGCGAAGGCGACUAUCUGGGCCAACACUGACACUGAGGCACGAAAGCGUGGGGAGCAAACAGGAUUAGAUACCCCAGUAGUCCCUGUCUCUUAUAC
rnacentral:rRNA from 1 species